CAUUUCCCCACAUCCCACAUCCCAUAUCCCUUUCCCCACAUCCUUUUUCCCAUAUCUUAUCUCCUCAUAUCCCAUUUCCCCAAUCCCAUUUCCCCAUAUCCCAUAUCCCAUUUCCCAGUUCCCUAUAUCCCAUUUCCUAGUUCCCCAUUUCCUAGUUCCCUAUCCCAUUUCUCCAUAUCCCAUUUCCCCAUAUCCCCACAUCCCCCAUAUCCAUUUCCCCAUUUCCCCAUUUCCCAUAUCCCCAUUUCCCCAUAUCCCAUUUCCCCACAUCCCUUUCCCACAUCCCCAUAUCCCCAUAUCCCAUUUCCCCACAUCCCAUAUCCCAUAUCCCUUUCCCCAUAUCCCAUUUCCCCAUAUCCUAUAUCCCCAUAUCCCAUUUCCCCAUAUCCCCACAUCCCCAUAUCACAUUUCCCCACAUCCCAUCCCCAUAUCCCAUUUCCCCAUAUCCCAUACCCCAUAUCCCCAUAUCCCAUUUCCCCAUAUCCCCACAUCCCCAUAUCCCAUUUUCCCCAUCCCAUAUCCCAGUUCCCCUUUUCCCAGCUCCCCCAUCCCAUUUCCCGGCCUCUCCAUUCCCGUUUUUUCCCCCAUUUCUCCGGGACAAAUCCUCUCUGCGGAGGCCCGGAGAAGCCGGGGAGGCGCAGGAAAAAGCCGGGAACGAUCCCAAAUCCCCGAAAUCAAUCCGGGAGCCAGCGGAGCGGGAUUAGGGCUCGCCGGGGGCCCGGGCGGGAACAGAGCCGGCAUUGUAACCCGAGCUCAUCCAGGGAAAACCGGGAAAGCGGGAGAGGGAGCCUGACCCCGGCAUCCCGCGGGAGCCGGCAACGAGGAGCGAGUGAAGAAUUCCAGAGGCGGAUUUGGCUUCCUGCUCCCGCCGCAGACGGACACGGGGGAGGCGGCGCGGGGCCGGCGCUUCCCAGCGCACCUGGAGCGGCUCGGGAAGCGCCUGGAGAGCGGCGAGGGGGGCGAGGCGCCGGGGGGGAAAAAAAACAACGCCAAAAAAAACCGGGAAAAGCGGGAUGGAAAAUAGCGG
rnacentral:lncRNA from 1 species